GCAAAGUACAUGGGGGACCGUAAUUGUUUUUAUGCUCGUUUUUCUACGACUCUCUACUAUAUUUUUAGUAGUAGAACCUCGG